rnacentral:tRNA from 1 species
GCGGUUGUAGUCCAGCCUGGUAAGACACGAAUUCCAAAAAUGUAGUGGAACCCUGCCACGGUCGGGACCCGGGUUCAAAUCCCGGCGGCCGCA